rnacentral:rRNA from 1 species
UAGGGAAUCUUCCGCAAUGGACGCAAGUCUGACGGAGCAACGCCGCGUGAGUGAAGAAGGAUUUCGGUUCGUAAAACUCUGUUGUUAGAGAAGAACAGCGCAUAGAGUAACUGUUAUGCGUGUGACGGUAUCUAACCAGAAAGCCACGGCUAACUACGUGCCAGCAGCCGCGGUAAUACGUAGGUGGCAAGCGUUGUCCGGAUUUAUUGGGCGUAAAGCGAGCGCAGGCGGUCAAUUAAGUCUGAUGUGAAAGCCCCCGGCUCAACCGGGGAGGGUCAUUGGAAACUGGUUGACUUGAGUGCAGAAGAGGAGAGUGGAAUUCCAUGUGUAGCGGUGAAAUGCGUAGAUAUAUGGAGGAACACCAGUGGCGAAGGCGACUCUCUGGUCUGUAACUGACGCGGAGGCUCGAAAGCGUGGGUAGCAAUCAGG